AACGAACGCUGGCGGCGUGCCUAACACAUGCAAGUCGAACGCGAGAGUUCCUUCGGGGACUCUUGAGUGGCGCACGGGUGAGUAAUACGUAGGAACGUGCCUAACGGUGGGGAAUAACCACGGGAAACCGUGGCUAAUACCGCAUGAAAUCGCGAGAUCAAAGGGGGCCUCUCCUUGGAAGCUCUCGCCGUUAGAGCGGCUUACGUCCUAUUAGCUAGUUGGUAGAGUAAAAGCCUACCAAGGCGAUGAUGGGUAACUGGUCUGAGAGGAUGAUCAGUCACACUGGAACUGAGACACGGUCAGACUCCUACGGGAGGCAGCAGUGGGGAAUCUUGCACAAUGGGCGAAAGCCUGAUGCAGCAACGCCGCGUGGGUGAAGAAGGUCUUCGGAUUGUAAAGCCCUUUCGGCUGGGAAGAAGGGUGAGAUGGUGAACAACCACCUCAUUUGACGGUACCAGAAGAAGAAGCACCGGCUAAUUCCGUGCCAGCAGCCGCCGUAAUAC
rnacentral:rRNA from 1 species